rnacentral:RNase_P_RNA from 1 species
GGAGACGGCCAGGCGAUCGCCGGACCAUUCGUGGUUCGGAGGAAAGUCCGGGCUCCACAGGACAGAGCGCCAGGUAACACCUGGGGAGUGCGAACUCACGGAAAGUGCAACAGAAAAUACACCGCUGCACCUCGUUAUUAGGAGCGGUAAGGGUGAAAUGGUGCGGUAAGAGCGCACCGCGAGAUCUGGCAACAGAAUCGGCUAGGUAAACCCCGCUCGGAGCAAGACCAAAUAGGAAUUGAAACACGUGGUCCGCGUGCAAUUCGGGUAGGUUGCUAGAGGCGCAUGGUGACAUGCGUCCUAGAUGAAUGAUCGCCCUCGACAGAACCCGGCUUAUCGGCCGUCUCCCUCG